rnacentral:tRNA from 1 species
CCCUGGGUGGUGCAACAGUUAGCUCACUUGGCUACUAACCAAAAGGCUGGAGGUUUGAGUCCUCUCACAGACA